rnacentral:rRNA from 1 species
GUACCUACGGGAGGCAGCAGUGGGGAAUAUUGCACAAUGGGGGAAACCCUGAUGCAGCGACGCCGCGUGAGUGAAGAAGUAUCUCGGUACGUAAAGCUCUAUCAGCAGGGAAGAAAAUGACGGUACCCGAAGAAAAAGCAUCGGCUAACUCCGUGCCAGCAGCCGCGGUAAUACGGAGGAUGCGAGCGUUAUCCGGAUUUAUUGGGUUUAAAGGGUGCGCAGGCGGGAGAUCAAGUCAGCGGUAAAAUGUCGGGGCUCAACCCCGGCCGGCCGUUGAAACUGGUUUUCUAGAGUUGGAGAGAAGA